GACGAACGCUGGCGGCAUGCCUAACACAUGCAAGUCGAACGGUCCGGCACUAAAUCAACUGAUAGUUUACUAUUAAGUAAUUUAGUGCCGGAUAGUGGCGGACGGGUGAGUAACGCGUGGGUAACCUGCCCAUAAGAUUGGGAUAACUCCGGGAAACCGGGGCUAAUACCGAAUGAGCUUCAACUACCGCAUGGUAGAAGAAGGAAAGAUGGCCUCUGAUAUAAGCUAUCACUUAUGGAUGGACCCGCGUCUGAUUAGCUAGUUGGUGAGGUAAAGGCUCACCAAGGCGACGAUCAGUAGCCGGCCUGAGAGGGUGACCGGCCACACUGGGACUGAGACACGGCCCAGACUCCUACGGGAGGCAGCAGUGGGGAAUCUUCCGCAAUGGGCGAAAGCCUGACGGAGCAAUGCCGCGUGAGUGAAGAAGCCUUUCGGUUGAAACUCUG
rnacentral:rRNA from 1 species